AGUGAACGCUGGCGGUAGGCCUAAUACAUGCAAGUCGAACGGCAGCACAGUAAGCGCUUUCCUCUACGGGUGGCGGCUGGCGGGCGGGUAAGGCAUACAUAGGCUUCCUCUUUUUCGGGGGGGAUUACGUGGGGCAACUUACGCUAAUACCGAAUAUGUUCUACGGCUGAAAUCAAGGGAUAAUCGGACCCUUCGCGUUUGAUUGAGACGAUGCCGGAUUAGCUAGUUGGGGGGGUAAAGGCCCACCAAGGCAACGAUCCGUAGCUGGUCUGAGAGGAUGAUCAGCCACACUGGAACUGAGACACGGUCCAGACUCCUACGGGAGGCAGCAGUAGGGAAUAUUGCACAAUGGGCGCAAGCCUGACGCAGCAAUACCGCGUGAGUGAUGAAGGCCUUCGGGUCGUAAAGCCCUGUUAUUGGGGAAGAAAAUCAGCGUAUGAAUACGCCGCUGUUCUGACGGUACCCAAAGAAAAAGCACCGGCUAACUUCGUG
rnacentral:rRNA from 1 species